GACAGAGGGUGCAAACGUUGCUCGGAAUCACUGGGCGUAAAGGGCUCGUAGGCGGCCAACUAAGUCAGACGUGAAAUCCCUCGGCUUAACCGGGGAACUGCGUCUGAUACUGGAUGGCUUGAGUUUGGGAGAGGGAUGCGGAAUUCCUGGUGUAGCGGUGAAAUGCGCAGAUAUCAGGAGGAACACCGGUGACGAAGGCGGGUCUCUGGGCAACAACUGACGCUGAGGAGCGAAAGCGUGGGGAGCGAACAGG
rnacentral:rRNA from 1 species